rnacentral:rRNA from 1 species
AUUGAACGCUGGCGGCAGGCUUAACACAUGCAAGUCGAGCGGAGAUGAGGUGCUUGCACCUUAUCUUAGCGGCGGACGGGUGAGUAAUGCUUAGGAAUCUGCCUAUUAGUGGGGGACAACAUUCCGAAAGGAAUGCUAAUACCGCAUACGCCCUACGGGGGAAAGCAGGGGACCUUCUGACCUUGCGCUAAUAGAGGAGCCUAAGUCAGUUUAGCUAGUUGGUGGGGUAAAGGCCUACCAAGGCGACGAUCUGUAGCGGGUCUGAGAGGAUGAUCCGCCACACUGGGACUGGGACACGGCCCAGACUCGUCAGGGAGGCAGGAGUGGGGAAUAUUGGACAAUGGGCGGAAGCCUGAUCCAGCCAUGCCGCGUGUGUGAAGAAGUCCUUUUGGUUGUAAAGCACUUUAAGCGAGUAGGAGGCUACCUGGAUUAAUACUCUAGGAUGGUGGACGGUACUCGCAGAAUAAGCACCGGCUAACUCUGUGCCAGCCGCCGCAGUAAUAC